rnacentral:rRNA from 1 species
UACGUAGGGUGCGAGCGUUGUCCGGAAUUAUUGGGCGUAAAGAGCUCGUAGGCGGUGUGUCGCGUCGGCCGUGAAAACCUGGGGCUCAACUCUGGGCGUGCGGUCGAUACGGGCAUCACUAGAGUUCGGCAGGGGAGACUGGAAUUCCUGGUGUAGCGGUGAAAUGCGCAGAUAUCAGGAGGAACACCGGUGGCGAAGGCGGGUCUCUGGGCCGAUGACUGACGCUGAGGAGCGAAAGCAUGGGUAGCGAACAGG